AUACGGAGGGUGCAAGCGUUAAUCGGGAUUACUGGGCGUAAAGCGCUCGUAGGCGGUUUGUUAAGUCGGAUGUGAAAGCCCCGGGCUCAACCUGGGAACUGCAUUCGAUACUGGCAAACUAGAGUAUAGUAGAGGCAAGUGGAAUUCCGGGUGUAGCGGUGAAAUGCGUAGAUAUCCGGAGGAACAUCAGUGGCGAAGGCGACUUGCUGGACUAAUACUGACGCUGAGGAGCGAAAGCGUGGGGAGCAAACGGGAUUAGAAACCCCUGUAGUCC
rnacentral:rRNA from 1 species